AUUAGAGUUUUGCAUGGAUUUUAGUAAGGAAGUACGUGGGAGAGCUUGAAAGCAGCCCUUCUUGAUCACAUGUUCAGUGGGAAGAGAAGGCACAUGGAAAGGGAAGGGACAGAGAUUGGAAGAGAAAAUGGGGAGAAGGUGCUCCACUCCAUCCUUCCCCCUUUCCACUACAAGUGCACAGAGGAAGGAGGUUCAAUGACAGAGGAGGUAGUGAUGGAAAGCACCUGUAUAGCUGGAAUAGUUUUCCAGUCCAGAACAUGCCCGCUUACCUAUGCCUCCAUCCAAAAAAGAUCUUGCCUUUUAAAGGGCAAAAAUGUCCCAGGUAUGUGAAAGCAGUUUCUCAUUUUCGGAGUUCAUCAGUGCAAUCCCAUCUCACUCUUGAGCAGUUGGAAAAUCAUUUGUGAUUUCACUUUUGCAAACAGCAGCAGAACUUCAGUGUACAAGACUGUUUAGCGGAUCGUCAAAUGGAUUGAUCAUUGGACAUUGUUUUAGAUCUCAUCUUUUCACAUUGUCAUCAUCAAGAUUUUUCUUUGUGUACAUCUGACAUUAUAUCUGCCACCUUUUUCACUAUCUUGUCACUACAGCCCUCUCAUGCUGUGACAAAAUCCACCAAUA